UACGGAGGGUGCAAGCGUUAUCCGGAAUCACUGGGCGUAAAGGGCGCGUAGGUGGUCUGUUAGGUCUGACGUUAAAGCCUGGGGCUCAACCCCAGAUCAGCGUUGGAUACUGGCAGGCUAGACGGUUGGAGAGGCGAGUGGAAUUACCAGUGUAGCGGUGGAAUGCGUAGAUACUGGUAGGAACACCCAUUGCGAAGGCAGCUCGCUGGACAACACGUGACACUGAGGCGCGAAAGUGUGGGGAGCAAACCGGAUUAGAUACCCCCGUAGU
rnacentral:rRNA from 1 species